rnacentral:rRNA from 1 species
GACGAACGCUGGCGGCGUGCUUAACACAUGCAAGUCGAACGGAAAGGCCCUGCUUUUGUGGGGUGCUCGAGUGGCGAACGGGUGAGUAACACGUGAGUAACCUGCCCUUGACUUUGGGAUAACUUCAGGAAACUGGGGCUAAUACCGGAUAGGAGCUCCUGCUGCAUGGUGGGGGUUGGAAAGUUUCGGCGGUUGGGGAUGGACUCGCGGCUUAUCAGCUUGUUGGUGGGGUAGUGGCUUACAAAGGCUUUGACGGGUAGCCGGCCUGAGGGGGUGACCGGCCACAUUGGGACUGAGGUACGGACCAGACUGCUACGGGAGGCAGCAGUGGGGAAUCUUGCGCAGUGGGGGGAAGCCUGAUGCAGCAACGCCGCGUGCGGGAUGACGGCCUUCGGGUUGUAAACCGCUUUCGCCUGUGACGAAGCGUGAGUGACGGUAAUGGGUAAAGAAGCACCGGCUAACUACGUG